GGAUAACUCAGUUGGUUAGAGCAUGGUGCUGAAAUUACCAAGACUGCAGGUUCGAUCCCCAUAAGGAACA
rnacentral:tRNA from 1 species